ensembl:ncRNA lncRNA:CR44561 long non-coding RNA:CR44561
AUGAUCACCACAAUUUUUGCCCAUCGUGUUACGAAAGACACUAGAAUAAUUAUUCUAGUGUCUUUGGUGUUACCUUCUACCAACGCGAUUACUGCGUCACGUCCAAAGCAAGGACCUCCGAUUGCAACCUGUCUCUCAUCACAAGGUUAUCCAUUUUGUGCAAACAGCAGCGGAGACGAAGCCCCAAAAGUCAAUCAGUCUGAAAAUUAUAAAUGCAAAUUGAUGAAGGCGGUGAGGCUGGCAGCUCAUUGAUUACCGGGAUCCCAAGGAGCAUAAACAAUGGCCCCCACGUCGUAGAGCACGCACGACCAUCGACGUGGCCAAGACGGAUGGACAGUAUAUAACAAUUAGAAGUUUCCUGCUCAUCCAGGGAGUCGUGGACUUUGGGGAGGGACCAGGUAAUCUGAGGCCAAGUGGACAAACGACAGUGGCAAAGGCAACUUGUCAACUCGAAUGACGUUUUAAUAAGUCACAUAAUUCAUGGGUCGAGAAUGGGUGGUGGGGGUCUUUAGGCUGGGUUCCAUAUAGCGAUAGGAAGAACUAUUCUUCGUGGAGAAACCGAUUCUGGCGAAUGUGAAUGUACCGCGUUUGCCGAACUCCAGAUUACUUGUUUAGCAUGAAGACUGCAUCGCCACUUUAAUACAGUGGGACCAUUUAUUUUUAUUAAUUUAUAUUAAUUGUAUUUGU